rnacentral:rRNA from 1 species
UACGUAGGGGGCAAGCGUUGUCCGGAAUUAUUGGGCGUAAAGAGCGCGUAGGCGGUCCGAUAAGUCGGCUGUGAAAGUCAGGGGCUCAACCCUUGGAAGCCGGCCGAUACUGUCGGACUAGAGUCCGGAAGAGGCGAGUGGAAUUCCCGGUGUAGCGGUGAAAUGCGCAGAUAUCGGGAGGAACACCGGUGGCGAAGGCG